rnacentral:rRNA from 1 species
CACGUGGGUAACCUGCCCAAGAGAUCGGGAUAACACCUGGAAACAGAUGCUAAUACCGGAUAAUAACAGAUGAUGCCUAUCAACUGUUUAAAAGAUGGUUCUGCUAUCACUCUUGGAUGGACCUGCGGUGCAUUAGCUAGUUGGUAGGGUAACGGCCUACCAAGGCGAUGAUGCAUAGCCGACCUGAGAGGGUAAUCGGCCACAUUGGGACUGAGACACGGCCCAAACUCCUACGGGAGGCAGCAGCC